UACGUAGGGGGCUAGCGUUGUCCGGAAUCAUUGGGCGUAAAGAGCGUGUAGGCGGUCCGGUAAGUCCGCUGUGAAAGUCGGGGGGCUCAACCCUCGAAUGCCGGUGGAUACUGUCGGGCUAGAGUGCGGAAGAGGCGAGUGGAAUUCCUGGUGUAGCGGUGAAAUGCGCAGAUAUCGGGAAGAACACCCGUGGCGAAGGCGGCUCUCUGGGACGGUACUGACGCUGAGACGCGAAAGCGUGGGGAGCGAACAGG
rnacentral:rRNA from 1 species